AACAAACGCUGGCGGCGUGCCUAACACAUGCAAGUCGAACGCGAAAAUCGGCUUCGGCCGAUGAGUAAAGUGGCGCACGGGUGAGUAACGCGUGGAUAAUCUACCCUUCAGUUGGGAAUAACUUAUCGAAAGGUGAGCUAAUACCGAAUAAAAACUGCCUGACCACGGUCGGGUAGUCAAAGAUAGCCUCUGCUUGCAAGCUUUCGCUGAAUGAUGAGUCCGCGUACCAUUAGCUAGUUGGUGGGGUAAUGGCCUACCAAGGCGACGAUGGUUAGCUGGUCUGAGAGGAUGAUCAGCCACACUGGAACUGAGACACGGUCCAGACUCCUACGGGAGGCAGCAGUGAGGAAUCUUGCGCAAUGGGGGAAACCCUGACGCAGCAACGCCGCGUGAGUGAGGAAGGUCUUCGGAUCGUAAAGCUCUGUCGGGUGGAAGAAAUGUAUGGGGUUAAUAGCCUUCAUACUUGACGGUACCACCAAGAAGCACGGCUAACUCCG
rnacentral:rRNA from 1 species